rnacentral:tRNA from 2 species
GACCCAGUAGCUCAGCAGGAUAGAGCGGCUGCCUCCUAAGCAGCAGGUCGCCCGUUCGAAUCGGGCCUGGGCCA